UACGUAGGGUGCAAGCGUUGUCCGGAAUUAUUGGGCGUAAAGAGCUCGUAGGCGGUCUGUCGCGUCGGAUGUGAAAACCCAGGGCUCAACCCUGGGCCUGCAUUCGAUACGGGCAGACUAGAGUUCGGUAGGGGAGACUGGAAUUCCUGGUGUAGCGGUGAAAUGCGCAGAUAUCGGGAAGAACACCCGUGGCGAAGGCGGCUCUCUGGGACGGUACUGACGCUGAGACGCGAAAGCGUGGGGAGCGAACAGG
rnacentral:rRNA from 1 species